rnacentral:rRNA from 1 species
GACGAACGCUGGCGGCGUGCUUAACACAUGCAAGUCGAACGGAAAGGCCCUGCUUUUGUGGGGUGCUCGAGUGGCGAACGGGUGAGUAACACGUGAGUAACCUGCCCUUGACUUUGGGGUAACUUCAGGAAACUGGGGCUAAUACCGGAUAGGAGCUCCUGCUGCAUGGUGGGGGUUGGAAAGUUUCGGCGGUUGGGGAUGGACUCGCGGCUUAUGAGCUUGUUGGUGGGGUAGUGGCUUACCAAGGCUUUGACGGGUAGCCGGCCUGAGAGGGUGACCGGCCACAUUGGGACUGAGAUACGGCACAGACUCCUACGGGAGGCAGCAGUGGAGAAUAUUGCACAAUGGGCGGAAGCCUGAUGCAGCAACGCCGCGUGCGGGAUGACGGCCUUCGGGUUGUAAACCGCUGUCGCCUGUGACGAAGCGUGAGUGACGGUAAUGGGUAAAGAAGCACCGGCUAACUACGUG